CAACUGAAGGAGGAGGCAGUCAAAAGGAAAAACACAAAUAUCUCCAAGAUGGCACUUACAAAAAGCAACAACAAUGACAAAGUAUAAAUACAAACACACACCUUGAAGUUUAUGUUCUUACUCAAAUGCAAGCAUCAACAAUGGCCUACUGUCAGCAAGUUAAAUGGCUGGGGCUGUUUCAGUCUCCCAUUACAUGAAGAAUCUUCUGGAGAGGAAAGAAGAAACCAUGUCUAGACAAGGUGCUGGAAAGACCCAGGGAAGACACAGAUUUGUUCCUUUCUCCACCAUGCCUCACUAUGUGUCACCAAACUU
rnacentral:lncRNA from 1 species